rnacentral:rRNA from 1 species
AUUGAACGCUGGCGGCAUGCUUUACACAUGCAAGUCGAACGGUAACAGGCCUUCGGGUGCUGACGAGUGGCGAACGGGUGAGUAAUGCAUCGGAACGUACCCAGAGGUGGGGGAUAACGCAGCGAAAGCUGUGCUAAUACCGCAUGUGAUCUGAGGAUGAAAGCGGGGGACCGAGCAGCAAUGUUUGGCCUCGCGCCUUUGGAGCGGCCGAUGUCGGAUUAGCUAGUUGGUGGGGUAAAGGCCUACCAAGGCGACGAUCCGUAGCUGGUCUGAGAGGACGACCAGCCACACUGGGACUGAGACACGGCCCAGACUCCUACGGGAGGCAGCAGUGGGGAAUUUUGGACAAUGAGCGCAAGCCUGAUCCAGCAAUGCCGCGUGCGGGAAGAAGGCCUUCGGGUUGUAAACCGCUUUUGGCAGGAACGAAACGGUGUCCGCUAAUACCGGGCGCUAAUGACGGUACCUGCAGAAUAAGCACCGGCUAACUACGUG